GCUUGCUCUUAUGAAGUUAGCGGCGGACGGGUGAGUAACACGUGGGUAACCUGCCCAUAAGACUGGGAUAACUCCGGGAAACCGGGGCUAAUACCGGAUAACAUUUUGAACUGCAUGGUUCGAAAUUGAAAGGCGGCUUCGGCUGUCACUUAUGGAUGGACCCGCGUCGCAUUAGCUAGUUGGUGAGGUAACGGCUCACCAAGGCAACGAUGCGUAGCCGACCUGAGAGGGUGAUCGGCCACACUGGGACUGAGACACGGCCCAGACUCCUACGGGAGGCAGCAGUAGGGAAUCUUCCGCAAUGGACGAAAGUCUGACGGAGCAACGCCGCGUGAGUGAUGAAGGCUUUCGGGUCGUAAAACUCUGUUGUUAGGGAAGAACAAGUGCUAGUUGAAUAAGCUGGCACCUUGACGGUACCUAACCAGAAAGCCACGGCUAACUACGUGCCAGCAGCCGCGGUAAUACGUAGGUGGCAAGCGUUAUCCGGAAUUAUUGGGCGUAAAGCGCGCGCAGGUGGUUUCUUAAGUCUGAUGUGAAAGCCCACGGCUCAACCGUGGAGGGUCAUUGGAAACUGGGAGACUUGAGUGCAGAAGAGGAAAGUGGAAUUCCAUGUGUAGCGGUGAAAUGCGUA
rnacentral:rRNA from 1 species